CUGGAGUCUAAAGGAUUCGUCGAGCAUGGAUGUUAACAGAACUUUCACCUUGAUAGUGAAGUCAUACAAAGGAGAUAGGCAACAUGCCAAGAAAACGAUCCGGUAAUACCGGUCACAGUCAAUGCAAAGAUGAAGCAACAGCUAUGAGCGAAACGAUUAGACCCGGUAAAAGUAAUCAUGGUCAAUCUUCCCCAUCAGAUGAAGCUAUAAAAAAAUGCUAAGGACUGUCACCUUGAUAGUGAAGUCAUAGAUCAAGGAGAAAAACCACAUGCCAAGAACACGAUCCGGUAAUACCGGUCACAGACAAUGCAAAGAUGAAGCAACAGGGAUGAGCGAAAG